UACGAAGGGGGCGAGCGUUGUUCGGAAUUACUGGCGUAAAGCGCGCGCAGGCGGCCUUUUAAGUCUGAUGUGAAAUCUUGCGGCUCAACCGCAAGCGGUCAUUGGAAACUGGAGGGCUUGAGUACAGAAGAGGAGAGUGGAAUUCCACGUGUAGUGGUGAAAUGCGUAGAGUAUGUGGAGGAACACCAGUGGCGAAGGCGACUCUCUGGUCUGUAACUGACGCUGAGGCGCGAAAGCGUGGGGGAGCAAACAGG
rnacentral:rRNA from 1 species